GAUGAACGCUGGCUACAGGCUUAACACAUGCAAGUCGAGGGGAAACGACGGGGAAGCUUGCUUCCCCGGGCGUCGACCGGCGCACGGGUGAGUAACGCGUAUCCAACCUGCCUCUGACUGAGGGAUAACCCGUCGAAAGUCGGCCUAAUACCUCAUGGCAUCGUCUGCGGGCAUCCAACGACGAUUAAAGAUUUCAUCGGUCAGGGAUGGGGAUGCGUCUGAUUAGCUUGUUGGCGGGGUAACGGCCCACCAAGGCUACGAUCAGUAGGGGUUCUGAGAGGAAGGUCCCCCACAUUGGAACUGAGACACGGUCCAAACUCCUACGGGAGGCAGCAGUGAGGAAUACUGGUCAAGGGGCGGGAGCCUGAACCAGCCAAGUAGCGUGCAGGAUGACGGCCCUAUGGGUUGUAAACUGCUUUUAUGCGGGGAUAAAGCGAGGGACGUGUCCUUCAUUGCAGGUACCGCAUGAAUAAGGACCGGCUAAUUCCGUG
rnacentral:rRNA from 1 species